CACAUGCGAAAGGGCCAUCUGGAAAGCAGAUCACUACAUGAGAAAAAAAAAAAAAGAAAAAAAAGAAAACGUAGAUGGACUAUGGGGCACUCAUAAUAGGGAGGAGACAGCAGUAAAGAGCCUGUUCCCAGGUCAGUGGCUACAAAUAGAGUUGAAAAAACUAUGCAGACUGUACAUGAGAAAUAUACUUCUGCUGCAUUGAAGACAUAUGAUUUCCAGCAGGUUGUUGUUGUUGAAGAGUACCAGUUCUAAGACUCCAUCAGGACACAAAAUCAUUGACCAUAACCCUCUGGCUGCAACCAUCCAACCAAUUUCCUUAUCCUCUGAAUUGUCCACCCCUAAAAUCCGUAUCUCUCCAAUUUAGAGAUAUGGAUGUGGCAUGAGAACAUGUCAAAGACCAUAUAGAAGUUAAGGUAGGUGACAUCAGUUGCCCUCCCUUUGUCUACUGAUGCUGUCACUCCAUCAGAGAAAGCCAUUAGAUUGAUCAGACAUGAUCUGCCCUUGGUGAAGCUGUGCUGGCUGUCUCAGACCAUCUCCUCAUCUCACAUGUGCCUUAAAAUAGCUUCCAGAAGAUUCUGCUCCAUGAUCUUCACAGGCAUAGAUCUGAGGCUCACCAGCCUGUAGUUCCCUGGGUCUUCCUUUUUCCCACUCCAGAAAAUGGGAGUGAUGCUUGCCUUCUUCGACUCACCAGUGACUUCUUCUGCCACUGAGAAGUGUCACUUUAUUUGAUUUGUAAGAAAAGACUUAGUAAAUCUUUUCAAAUUGGUCAGAACACCACUCUCUACUGACACUUUGCACCAAAGCAUCUACACGAUUCUUGAUGUCACAAAAUGGUCAACAGUAUUUCAAGAGCCAUAUAACUGGUUGUAAGAGAUUAUUCUUUUACAUCAUUGUUUCCGAGCUUGUUGGGGACACAGAU